rnacentral:rRNA from 1 species
GACGAACGGCUGGCGGCGUGGAUUAGGCAUGCAAGUCGAACGGUAGGAUACCUUCGGGUAUCUGAGAGUGGCGAACGGGUGAGUAACACGUAGGUGAUCUACCCUCAAGAUUGGGACAACCCAGGGAAACUUGGGCUAAUACCGGAUGAAAGCAGCAGUGAUGUUGUUUGAAAGGUGGCGUAAGCUGCCGUUUGGGGAUGAGCCUGCGCUCUAUUAGUUAGUUGGCGGGGUAAAGGCCCACCAAGGCGAUGAUAGAUAGGCGGCCUUAACGGGUGGUCGCCCACACUGGGAUUGAGAUACGGCCCAGACUCCUACGGGAGGCAGCAGUCGAGAAUAGUCUACAAUGGCCGAAAGGCUGAUAGUGCGACGCCGCGUGAACGAAGAAGCCCUUCGGGGUGUAAAGUUCUUUUAUAUGUGAGCAGUGCUUUUUAUGUGAACAGCAUGGGGAGAGAGAUAUUAGCAUAUGAAUAAGCAACGGCUAACUCCGUG